UGGCGGACGGGUGAGUAACACGUAAGAAUUUGCCUUUAGGAGGGGGAUAACAACUGGAAACGGUUGCUAAUACCCCAUAUGCUUUCGAGUGAAAUGGAAUUUUCCGCCUAGAGAGAAGCUUGCGGCUGAUUAGCUUGUUGGUAAGGUAAUGGCUUACCAAGGCGACGAUCAGUAUCUGGUUUGAGAGGACGAUCAGACACACUGGAACUGAGACACGGUCCAGACUCCUACGGGAGGCAGCAGUGGGGAAUUUUCCGCAAUGGGCGAAAGCCUGACGGAGCAAUACUGCGUGAGGGAUGACGGCCUAUGGGUUGUAAACCUCUUUUUUCAGGGAGGAAUAAAAUGACGUGUACCUGAAGAAUAAGCAUCGGCUAACUCCGUGCCAGCAGCCGCGGUAAGACGGAGGAUGCAAGUGUUAUCCGGAAUCACUGGGCGUAAAGCGUCUGUAGGUGGUUUAAUAAGUCAACUGUUAAAUCUUGGAGCUCAACUUCAAAAUCGCAGUCGAAACUAUUAGACUAGAGUAUAGUAGGGGUAAAGGGAAUUUCCAGUGGAGCGGUGAAAUGCGUAGAGAUUGGAAAGAACACCGAUGGCGAAGGCACUUUACUGGGCUAUUACUAACACUCAGAGACGAAAGCUAGGGUAGCAAAUGGGAUUAGAUACCCCAGUAGUCCUAGCCGUAAACAAUGGAUACUAGAUGUUGAACAGAUCGACCUGUGCAGUAUUAAAGCUAACGCGUUAAGUAUCCCGCCUG
rnacentral:rRNA from 1 species